AUUGAACGCUGGCGGCAUGCUUUACACAUGCAAGUCGAACGGCAGCGCGGGCUUCGGCCUGGCGGCGAGUGGCGAACGGGUGAGUAAUACAUCGGAACGUGCCCAGUAGUGGGGGAUAGCUCGGCGAAAGCCGGAUUAAUACCGCAUACGACCUGAGGGUGAAAGCGGGGGAUCUUCGGACCUCGCGCUAUUGGAGCGGCCGAUGGCAGAUUAGCUAGUUGGUGGGGUAAAGGCCUACCAAGGCGACGAUCUGUAGCUGGUCUGAGAGGACGACCAGCCACACUGGGACUGAGACACGGCCCAGACUCCUACGGGAGGCAGCAGUGGGGAAUUUUGGACAAUGGGCGAAAGCCUGAACCAGCAAUGCCGCGUGUGUGAUGAAGGCCUUCGGGUUGUAAAGCACUUUUGGCGGGAACGAAAAGGACUGUGCCAAUACCACGGUUCGAUGACGGUACCCGCAGAAUAAGCACCGGCUAACUACGG
rnacentral:rRNA from 1 species